rfam:Schistosoma curassoni strain Dakar, Senegal genome assembly, scaffold: SCTD_scaffold0012584
ACCCAACUGACGGGUCGCAAAUAAGACGAAACGCGCGUCAAACUGGAU